rnacentral:rRNA from 1 species
UACGAAGGGGGCUAGCGUUGCUCGGAAUCACUGGGCGUAAAGCGCACGUAGGCGGACUCUUAAGUCGGUGGUGAAAUCCUGGAGCUCAACUCCAGAACUGCCUUCGAUACUGGGAGUCUCGAGUUCGGGAGAGGUGAGUGGAACUGCGAGUGUAGAGGUGAAAUUCGUAGAUAUUCGCAAGAACACCCGUGGCUAAGGCGGCUCUCUAGUACGGUACUGACGCUGAGACGCGAAAGCGUGGGGAGCGAACAGG